GACGGACGCUGGCGGCGUGCUUAACACAUGCAAGUCGAACGGUGACCCACCUUCGGGUGGCGAUCAGGGGCGAACGGGUGAGUAACACGUGGGCAACCUGCCCCUGACUCUGGGAUAACUCCUCGACAGAGGUGCUAAUACCGGAUACCACCUCCCUGGGCAUCGGGGGAGGUUGAAAGUUAUUCGGUCAGGGAUGGGCCCGCGGCCUAUCAGCUAGUUGGGGAGGUAACGGCCCACCAAGGCGACGACGGGUAGCCGGCCUGAGAGGGCGACCGGCCACACUGGGACUGGGACACGGCCCAGACUCCUACGGGAGGCAGCAGGGGGGAAUAUUGCGCAAUGGGCGAAGGCCUGACGCAGCAACGCCGCGUGAGGGAUGACGGCCUUCGGGUUGUAAACCUCUUUCAGCAGGGACGAAGCGAAAGUGACUGUACCUGCAGAAGAAGCGCCGGCUAACUACGUGCCAGCCGCCGCUGUAACAC
rnacentral:rRNA from 1 species